UGUAAAGUAAGCUGCUUAAAUACUUUGUUUCAUCCAUCUGCUCUUUUUUUUUCUUUUCUUCUCAAAAUGCAGGCACAUCCAGAUCACAGCUACUUUUGAUCCUGUCAGCUACUGAACCACAUUUAACAGAGAGAGAGGUUAAUUCACUGUUUAACAUUCCAUGUCUGUUCAACUUACUUCUGCCAAGAGCUGUUCAUCUCACAGAGAGUUACCUGAACUAGAUAUACAACUCCUCUGCAGCCACUUCUUGCCAUGCCAGGCAUUCAGAUGCCUGUGUUUGAGGUCAGCUCUGGUGUGGCACUGCCACAUAACUCUUAGUUAGACUGCUGUGAAACACUCACGUUGUGAGACAGAGCUGUGAGAAGCCUCACCUGUAGCCUCCAGCCUCACACCUCUGCCUGCUGGCUCAGGAGCUGCAUUUAAACCAGGGCUUUGGAUUCCUGGCUUGGCACCUGCCUCACUGCUACAACCUUGUCAGGCAAGCUGGACUCUUGCCCAACUCUGUCCCCACUGCUGGCCCUGCU
rnacentral:lncRNA from 1 species